rnacentral:rRNA from 1 species
UACGUAGGAUGCAAGCGUUGUCCGGAAUUAUUGGGCGUAAAGAGCGCGCAGGCGGUUUGACAAGUCAGAUGUGAAAGAGGCCGGCUUAACCGGCAAGGGUCAUUUGAAACUGUCAGACUAGAGUGCAGCAGAGGAUAGUUGAAUUCCCGGUGUAGUGGUGAAAUGCGUAGAUAUCGGGAGGAACACCAGUGGCGAAGGCGACUAUCUGGGCUGCAACUGACGCUGAGGCGCGAAGGCUAGGGUAGCAAACAGG